rnacentral:rRNA from 1 species
CGCGGUAACACGUAGGGGGCAAGCGUUGUCCGGAUUUAUUGGGCGUAAAGAGCUCGUAGGCGGUUCGGUAAGUCGGGUGUGAAAACUCUGGGCUCAACUCAGAGACGCCACCCGAUACUGCUGUGACUUGAGUCUGGUAGGGGAGUGUGGAAUUCCCGGUGUAGCGGUGAAAUGCGCAGAUAUCGGGAGGAACACCAGUGGCGAAGGCGGCACUCUGGGCCAGUACUGACGCUGAGGAGCGAAAGCGUGGGGAGCGAACAGG